GAAGAAGAGGAGAAACGAGCAAAAGAUAAAGGGGCACUUCUAAAAUAUUUUGGAGCAUCCUCUGCCACUUGUCAGGAUGAGCCAACCACCUCCUCUGCUACACACGUCUCCACAAAUAUCAUAUAUUGAGGAUGAAGACCUCUUUGCCUCUACUUCUACCCAGCAUGAGCUUUCAGAAAUGCCUGGAGCUGAACCCCCACUGAGCCCCACUGGCCCUCACAUCUGAC